rnacentral:sRNA from 1 species
UAACCAGGGGUCGGUCCUCUGGGGUCUGG